ACUGUCCAGAUUAAAGUCAAAACUGGACAAAGCUAUCAUAUCGUUAAUUCACAAAGAGAAGAACAAAUUAAAAUGGAGAGGAAAGUAUUAGUUAUUGUUGCAGCCAUUUUUCUUAUCGGCACAGCAUUUGCAACAUGUCGUACAAACUGUGCACACAGAUAUCAGGAAGAUGUAAACAGCUGUGAAGCCCAUGGAGGUUCAAAUGAUGCAUGUGUAGACAAGGCAACUGCACACAUGCUCCACUGCAUGAAACCAUGUUCAUCCAGAAAAAGGAGCGUGAACUGGAAACUAUUCCAUGUUUAGAUAUUUACUUUCAAUUUUGACGAGGACUGAGUUUGAGAAUAGGUCCGAUAUACGAAUUUAUGUUAUUUGGUAUUUACACCGACUGUCUGUGUAGCAUGUUACACUACUCCAAUUGUGUUUAUUGCAUUUAAUUGUACAGAAACUUUCAGACUUAUUUUAGUGUACAUAUAAUAUUUAUUAUUUAAUGGUUCAACAUUAAAUGUUGUGUUCGU